GACAAACGCUGGCGGCGUGCCUAACACAUGCAAGUCGAACGGAGAAUUUUGAUGAGUUUACUCGGAGAAAUUUUUAGUGGCGGACGGGUGAGUAACGCGUGGGUAACCUACCCAUAAAGCCGGGACAACCCUUGGAAACGAGGGCUAAUACCGGAUAAUCUUAAGAAUUGGCAUCAAUACUUAAGGAAAGGUGGCCUCUGAGAAUGCUACCGCUUAUGGAUGGACCCGCGUCUGAUUAGCUAGUUGGUGGGGUAAAGGCCUACCAAGGCGACGAUCAGUAGCCGGCCUGAGAGGGUGAACGGCCACACUGGGACUGAGACACGGCCCAGACUCCUACGGGAGGCUG
rnacentral:rRNA from 1 species